rnacentral:rRNA from 1 species
UGCAAGUCGAGGGGUAUAGUUCUUCGGAACUAGAGACCGGCGCACGGGUGCGUAACGCGUAUGCAAUCUACCUUUUGCAGAGGGAUAGCCCAGAGAAAUUUGGAUUAAUACCUCAUAGUAUGUGAGAAUGGCAUCAUUUUCACAUUAAAGUCACAACGGCAAAAGAUGAGCAUGCGUCCCAUUAGCUAGUUGGUAAGGUAACGGCUUACCAAGGCAACGAUGGGUAGGGGUCCUGAGAGGGAGAUCCCCCACACUGGUACUGAGACACGGACCAGACUCCUACGGGAGGCAGCAGUGAGGAAUAUUGGACAAUGGGCGCAAGCCUGAUCCAGCCAUGCCGCGUGCAGGAUGACGGUCCUAUGGAUUGUAAACUGCUUUUGUACAGGAAGAAACACUGGUUCGUGAACCAGCUUGACGGUACUGUAAGAAUAAGGAUCGGCUAACUCCGUGCCAGCAGCCGCGGUAAUACGGAGGAUCCAAGCGUUAUCCGGAAUCAUUGGGUUUAAAGGGUCCGUAGGCGGUUUAGUAAGUCAGUGGUGAAAGCCCAUCGCUCAACGGUGGAACGGCCAUUGAUACUGCUAGACUUGAAUUAUUAGGAAGUAACUAGAAUAUGUAGUGUAGCGGUGAAAUGCUUAGAGAUUACAUGGAAUACCAAUUGCGAAGGCAGGUUACUACUAAUGGAUUGACGCUGAUGGACGAAAGCGUGGGUAGCGAACAGGAUUAGAUACCCUGGUAGUCCACGCCGUAAACGAUGGAUACUAGCUGUUGGGGGCAACUUCAGUGGCUAAGCGAAAGUGAUAAGUAUCCCACCUGGGGAGUACGUUCGCAAGAAUGAAACUCAAAGGAAUUGACGGGGGCCCGCACAAGCGGUGGAGCAUGUGGUUUAAUUCGAUGAUACGCGAGGAAC